rnacentral:rRNA from 1 species
UACGAAGGGGGCUAGCGUUGUUCGGAAUUACUGGGCGUAAAGCGGCGCGCAGGCGGCUCUUCAAGUCAGGGGUGAAAAGCCCAGAGCUCACUCUCGGUGAACUGCCUUUGAGACUGAAGAGCUUGAGUACGGGAGAGGUGAGUGGAAUUCCCGAGUGAUAGAGGUGAAAUUCGUAGAUAUUGGGAAGAACACCGGUGGCGAAGGCGGCGUCAC